UACGAAGGGGGCUAGCGUUGUUCGGAAUUACUGGGCGUAAAGGGCGCGUAGGCGGUUUGACCAGUCAGGUGUGAAAUUCCCGGGCUUAACCUGGGGGCUGCACUUGAUACUGUCAGGCUUGAAUUCGGGAGAGGAUAGCGGAAUUCCCAGUGUAGAGGUGGAAUGCGUAGAUAUCGGGAGGAACACCAGUGGCGAAGGCGGUUACCUGGAGCUUUGCUGACGCUGAUGCGCGAAAGCGUGGGGAGCGAUCCGG
rnacentral:rRNA from 1 species